rnacentral:rRNA from 1 species
ACUCCUACGGGAGGCAGCAGUGGGGAAUAUUGCACAAUGGGCGAAAGCCUGAUGCAGCCAUGCCGCGUGUGUGAAGAAGGCCUCGGUUGUAAAGACACUUCUAGCGAGGAGGAAAGGUUAGACGGUUAAGUAACCGUCAGCUGUGACGUUACUCGCAGAAGAAGACACCGGCUAACUCCGUGCCAGCAGCCGCGGUAAUACGGAGGGUGCGAGCGUUAAUCGGAAUUACUGGGCGUAAAGCGCAUGCAGGCGGCCAAGUCAGUCAGAUGUGAAAGCCCGGGCUUAACCUGGGAAUUGCAUUUGAAACUGCUUGGCUAGAGUCCUUGAGAGGGGGUAGGAAUUUCAGGUGUAGCGGUGAAAUGCGUAGAGAUCUGAAGGAAUACCAGUGGCGAAGGCGGCCCCCUGGCAAGAGACUGACGCUCAGAUGCGAAAGCGUGGGGAGCAAACAGGAUUAGAUACCCUGGUAGGAUAGCG